AACGAACGCUGGCGGCAUGCCUAACACAUGCAAGUCGAACGAGACCUUCGGGUCUAGUGGCGCACGGGUGCGUAACGCGUGGGAAUCUGCCCUCUGGUACGGAAUAACUCAGGGAAACUUGAGCUAAUACCGUAUAAUGACUUCGGUCCAAAGAUUUAUCGCCUGAGGAUGAGCCCGCGUCGGAUUAGCUAGUUGGUGAGGUAAAGGCUCACCAAGGCGACGAUCCGUAGCUGGUCUGAGAGGAUGAUCAGCCACACUGGGACUGAGACACGGCCCAGACUCCUACGGGAGGCAGCAGUGGGGAAUAUUGGACAAUGGGCGAAAGCCUGAUCCAGCAAUGCCGCGUGAGUGAUGAAGGCCUUAGGGUUGUAAAGCUCCUUUACCCGGGGUGAUAAUGACAGUACCGGGAGAAUAAGCCCCGGCUAACUCCGUGCCAGCCGCCGCUGUAA
rnacentral:rRNA from 1 species